rnacentral:rRNA from 1 species
GUAGGUGGCAAGCGUUGUCCGGAAUUAUUGGGCGUAAAGCGCGCGCAGGCGGUUCUUUAAGUCUGAUGUGAAAGCCCACGGCUCAACCGUGGAGGGUCAUUGGAAACUGGAGAACUUGAGUACAGAAGAGGAAAGCGGAAUUCCACGUGUAGCGGUGAAAUGCGUAGAGAUGUGGAGGAACACCAGUGGCGAAGGCGGCUUUCUGGUCUGUAACUGACGCUGAGGCGCGAAAGCGUGGGGGAGCAAUCAGGAUUAGAUACCCUGGUAGUCCACGCCGUAAACGAUGAGUGCUAAGUGUUAGGGGGUUUCCGCCCCCCCCUUAGUGCUGCAGCUAACGCAUUAAGCACUCCGCCUGGGGAGUACGGCCGCAAGGCUG